GACGAACCGUGCGAACGUUGUUCGGAAUCACUGGGCUUAAAGGGCGCGUAGGCGGCCGUCCGAGUCCGGGGUGAAAUCUUUCGGCCUAACCGGAAAAGGGCCCUGGAUACUGGACGGCUCGAGGGGGGGGGUAGGGGCAAGCGGAACUUCCGGUGGAGCGGUGAAAUGCGUUGAUAUCGGAAGGAACGCCGGCGGCGAAAGCGGCUUGCUGGACCCCUCCUGACGCUGAGGCGCGAAAGCCAGGGGAGCGAACGGG
rnacentral:rRNA from 1 species